rnacentral:rRNA from 1 species
AGGUGGCAAGCGUUAUCCGGAUUUAUUGGGCGUAAAGGGUGCGCAGGCGGCCUGUUAAGUCUGAGGUGAAAGCGUGGGGCUCAACCCCAUACAGCCUUGGAUACUGGCAGGCUUGAGUGAAGAAGAGGGAAGUGGAAUUCCAUGUGUAGCGGUAAAAUGCGUAGAUAUAUGGAGGAACACCGGUGGCGAAGGCGGCUUCCUGGUCUUCUACUGACGCUCAUGCACGAAAGCGUGGGGAGCAAA